rnacentral:rRNA from 1 species
CCUACGGGCGGCAGCAGUGGGGAAUAUUGGACAAUGGGGGGAACCCUGAUCCAGCCAUGCCGCGUGUGUGAAGAAGGCCCUCGGGUUGUAAAGCACUUUCAGUGAGGAAGAACGCCUGGUGGUUAAUACCCAUCAGGAAAGACAUCACUCACAGAAGAAGCACCGGCUAACUCCGUGCCAGCAGCCGCGGUAAUACGGAGGGUGCGAGCGUUAAUCGGAAUUACUGGGCGUAAAGCGCGCGUAGGUGGCUUGAUAAGCCGGUUGUGAAAGCCCCGGGCUCAACCUGGGAACGGCAUCCGGAACUGUCAAGCUAGAGUGCAGGAGAGGAAGGUAGAAUUCCCGGUGUAGCGGUGAAAUGCGUAGAGAUCGUGAGGAAUACCAGUGGCGAAGGCGGCCUUCUGGACUGACACUGACACUGAGGUGCGAAAGCGUGGGUAGCAAACAGGAUUAGAUACCCCAGUAGUC